UGAACGCUAGCGGCAGGCUUAACACAUGCAAGUCGAGGGGUAACAGGGUUUAGUUUACUAGAUUGCUGACGACCGGCGCACGGGUGAGUAACGCGUAUACAAUUUACCUUUUACAGGGGAAUAGCCCAGAGAAAUUUGGAUUAAUGCCCCAUAGUAUUAUAGAGUCACCUGGCUUUAUGAUUAAAGUUUCGGCGGUAAAAGAUGAGUAUGCGUCCUAUUAGCUAGAUGGUAAGGUAACGGCUUACCAUGGCGACGAUAGGUAGGGGUCCUAAGAGGGAGAUCCCCCACACUGGUACUGAGACACGGACCAGACUCCUACGGGAAGCAGCAGUGAGGAAUAGUGGGCAAUGGAGGCAACUCUGACCCAGCCAUGCCGCGUGCAGGAAGUCUGCCCUAUGGGUUGUAAACUGCUUUUAUACAGGAAGAAACUUACCCACGUGUGGGUAACUGACGGUACUGUAAGAAUAAGCACCGGCUAACUCC
rnacentral:rRNA from 1 species